AUGGUGCAUUUGUCACAUGGGUCCGAUGUAUUUCGAUGAAACCUACAUGGGAAUGGACAAUUCUCAGUCAAGUCUAUGUAUAGAGCAUUAAUCCAGUCUGAUGUGUCAGUUGAUAAUAACAAGAAGAUCUGGAAGAUGAAGAUACCUCUAAAGAAUAAAAUCUUGGCAUGGUAUCUUCAUCGCGGAGUCAUUCUUACUAAAGAUAACCUUAUUAAGAGGAAUUGGCAUGGAAGUCCGCAAUAUGUCUUUUCUCACCAUGAUAACACAAUAAAAAAUUUAUUCCACCAAUGCAAAUUGGCUCGUUCUAUAUGGCCAGUCGUCCAGAUAGCUUCUGGCUUGUAUCCUCCCUGUAGUGUUGCUAAUGUAUUUAGCAACUGGUUACAUGGGAUAGAUUACAGGUUUAGAACUAUUCUUAGGGUGGGAGCGCUUGCCGUUAUUUCGUCGUUUUGGCUAUGUAGAAAUGAUAAGGUGUUUAACGAUAAAAGUACUUCUCUAAUGCAAGUUAUCUACAGACGUAUCGGGACUCUUCGUUUAUGGUCCUCUCUACAACGUGCGGAGAAUCGAGACCUGUUUACGGAGGUGUGUACACGAUUGGAGCAUACGGCGAGGGAUACUUUUACCCAACAUGGGUGGCAGCAUGAUCUUAGGAUUGGCCCACCUCCGUUUUAG
rnacentral:rRNA from 1 species